rnacentral:rRNA from 1 species
CCCUUAGAUGUUCUGGGCCGCACGCGCGCUACACUGACGAAUGCAACGAGCUUAUAACCUUGGCCGAAAGGUCUGGGUAAUCUCCAAAUUUCGUCGUGAUGGGGAUAGAUUAUUGCAAUUAUUAAUCUUCAACGAGGAAUGCCUAGUAAGCGCAAGUCAUCAGCUUGCGUUGAUUACGUCCCUGCCCUUUGUACACACCGCCCGUCGCUCCUACCGAUUGAAUGGUCCGGUGAAGCGUUCGGACCGUGGCCUUUGGACGGUUCGCCGUCUGUUGGCUGCGGGAAGUUCGUUAAACCUUAUCAUUUAGUGGAAGGAGAAGUCGUAACA